UUUUUUUAACCAGAAGGUUCAGCUGUGUCUAGUUAACUGAAAUCAGUACAUGGUACUUAAUCAACAUUGUUCUUGGAUAUUAAGCCUUUCCACAAUGCUUGUUCUCUUAAUUUCACAUUUAACUUUACUGUUUUUUUAAAGACACAGGGCAGAACCAGUUCCACAUAUCCCAUGUGAAAUACCACAUCAGCAAUGGCAACUGCUACUACUGUCUACUAAAAAAGUUCAAAGAAUGAGUUAAACGCAUAAAAAGAAUUAAGCUCACAUAGUAAAGAUCUCAAAAGUAAAUAGAAUUUAUUUCAAUUAGUAAUAAAGAAUCUCCAUUCCUAAUUCACCAACACCAAGGAAAUUUCUUGCCAGAGACCAUUGAUGAAGCAGGAUACCUUUAGCUUGCUGCCACAGGCAUUAUGCACAGAAAUACAUAUGGUAUGGACCUAUGGGUGUGGAGAGAAUUAAGCCAAGAUAGAAUUCUUGUAAUAAUUUCUAAAUGCACUAAAAAUAUAGUAACACCUCAGUGAUGCUUGGCCAGAAGUAGAAGGGAAAGUGUCUCUUCAUAAAACCUCACCAGAAUAUGCUAUUCAAUCACAUGUUACAGAGAACUAGGUACCCACAAAAUUUGACCAAAGAUGAAGGCAGUGUAUUUCAAUAAACAAAUAAGUUGGAAUUGUAAUG
rnacentral:misc_RNA from 1 species